ACUGAGUGUGGUCAUCCUAUUUGUAUGAAUGUAUCAUUCUUGUAUCGGAAGCUAGAAAUAUGAAAUAUUACUCUGAAGUUCUAUUGUAACUGUGCAAAGUGUGGAACAUUAAUGGUGGCUUGGAAUCUUGAUAGCUCCCAUUAACUAGGACAGUUGGUUGUGAAUGACUCUGUUUACUCACAAACCUUCCUGGGUAUCAGGGUGGGUUGACAG